UGGCGGCAGGCUAACACAUGCAGUCGAGCGCCCCGCAAGGGAGCGGCAGACGGGAUAGUAACACGUGGGAACGUACCCUUCAGUUCGGAACAACCAAGGGAAACUUUGGCUAAUACCGAAUACGUCCGGUAAGGAGAAAGAUUUAUCGCUGAAGGAUCGGCCCGCGUCUGAUUAGCUAGUUGGUGAGGUAAUGGCUCACCAAGGCGACGAUCAGUAACUGGUCUGAGAGGAUGAUCAGCAUCACUGGGACUGAGACACGGCCCAGACUCCUGCGGGAGGCAGCAGUGGGGAAUAUUGGACAAUGGGCGCAAGCCUGAUCCAGCCAUGCCGCGUGGAUGAUGAAGGCCCUAGGGUUGUAAAGUCCUUUCGGCGGGGAAGAUAAUGACGGUACCCGCAGAAGAAGCCCCGGUAACUUCGUGCCAGCAGCCGCGGUAAUACGAAGGGGGCUAGCGUUGCUCGGAAUCACUGGGCGUAAAGCGCACGUAGGCGGACUCUUAAGUCGGUGGUGAAAUCCUGGAGCUCAAUCCAGAACUGCUUCGAUACUGAGAGUCUCCGAGUCCGAGAGAGGU
rnacentral:rRNA from 1 species